UCUGUAUCUCUCUAUCUCUCUCUCUCUCUUGUAUUUGUAUAUAUAUAUUGUUUUUCAAGGAGCUGUUAAAUUUUCUUCCAAUAUCGAUUAAAUCAUCUAAUAUCCUUUCCUUAGUGUCCUUUUCAUAUUGCUCUCUCUUUCUCUCUCUCUCAUAUAUUUAUAAGAACUCAUUUUCAUAUUGCUCUCUCUCUCUCUCUCUCUCUCUCUUAUAUAUAGGAACUCCUUUUCAUCUCUCUCUCUCUCUCUCUCUCUCUCUCUCUCUCUUAUAUUUGUAUAUAGAUAUUGUUUAUCAA
rnacentral:lncRNA from 1 species